UAUCUAUCUAUCUAUUACUGCAUAUAUUCCAUCUCCCCCAUAAAAGGGAGAGAAUAAUAAAAUCACAGUUAAUUAAUUUAUGUUGAGACUAUAAAAACAUUUAACCUUUUUUCUAAACAACUGUCUAAUAAAUAUCAUAGUACAUCUGGUUUAUAUAAAAAGAUCAAUAAUGGGUUCUUAUUUUGCAGGUCUGAGAGUUACAAUGUUUAUUGUUGUUUUCCUUGCAGUGAUGACUGUAAUUAUAGCGCUACACAGAUGAUGUGAAAAAUAAAUGUUAGUAUGAGGUUGAAGGUUGGGAAUGUAGGAGAUACAGUAUUUGUUAGUGAAAGAUACCAUACAAUAAAUCUUUAAAAUGAUUUUUCUAUAGAGAAACUGCAUUUUUUUAAUACGAAUAUGCUGCUUAUAAUUAAGGUUUUGCUUCCCUGAACGCACCAGCUCUUGUUUGAUGCUUCAAGCUCAGCAGAAAGGGAUUUGGUCAGAUGUCUUUAAUAGUUACAUCAGGUCAUUUUCCAGUCAUUCCACAUGUUAGAUUCCCAUCUGGGAAUGUGCAGAAACGAAAAUAAAUCCCAAGUGUGAAAGAUGAACAUUUACAGGCAGCAUUCAGGCCCAAACAACACUUCUGAUCCUUACAUGCAGUUCUCAAAUAAAACCAGCAGAUGUCUCCCUUCUAACUUCUAAUAGACAUCAAUGCUUCUAACAGAUCAGAGCACAGGUGGUUGUGUUUUUUUUUGCUUGUUAUGGAUAAUAAGAGUUAUUGAUAAAAUGAGACUUUAUAAAACUCUGUGGUCUUUCUGUUUAAAUUCAGGACUUCAACUCCCUCAAAUGCAGCGUUGUGAGUCUUUUGUUUGCUACAACUGAACCCAGGAAGUGUCCGGAAUAUCAUGUCAUCUGUUUUUACUUUAGGUUUCUAUUAAAUCAAUUUGUCUAGAAAAAAUACUUCACAAACUCUAUUAACCUAAGAUCAGACAGAAAUGAAGAAAUCUGGGCUGCAGUUUCUAUUUUUGUCACUAGAGGGCAGCAAAGCAUUGAAAUGAAUGAUGAAGGAUUCUGUCCAAACUCACACAGAUUCUCCAGAAUGAAAGCUGUCGGGCAGCAACAGCUGUGUGAUCACAGAAAAAUGUCCUCUGACACCAAAACCACAGAACCUUUCAUCAGAUCAUCUUUGGAUUGGAUCUGAAAUUCUAGUUUUCAUUUAGUAAAGUCUUCUUCUUUUCAGAGAACAAACUUGCCUGAUUGGUGGUUUGUUGGUGAGUGGGAGGAGCUUAAUCCAAGGCUGCUUUCGACUUUCUGCUUUUGUCUUCAUGUGUUCCACAUUUAACAGCAGUUGGUGACAUUUUCGAGCAGUUUCACCUCUUUUUCUGAGUUGACGUUUGUGGAGGUCAAAGGUCAGAUGGAGCAGUUUUCUGCUCUAGAAAUUAAGAAGAGGAACAUUUCAAUGCUGAAGAAGUCAACCAAACAAUGACAUUAAAUUAUUCCUGUUAACACUCCUUAUCAAUCACCUUUUCAUGAAUGCAUGGAGGAAAGAACCUGACCUGUAGACUGUCAAGUCCCAAAGAGGACUUCUUUGUUUCCUUUAGCUCAGCUGUCCCGUGCUAUAAGGAGUCGAAUUACAUUCGUCGAAUUACAAUUGUUGUUUACUCUCCAUAAAAACCGACAAAUGAAUCAAAAGGCAAAAGCAGAACUGUGAGGUUACAUGCUCUGCUCCACAUUUAGAAAAACCAAACAUGUUAUAAUAAAAUAUGGAUUAUUACAGACUAGUAGAGGAAGGGAAAUGGUGUGGGCUCUUUUUAAACCCAGACAAUCUUCACUGACUGAGUUAACAAAAACCGGGGAAAAAAUUUCAUUUAGUGAUUUUCAACUAUUUUUGUCCACUCUCACACACACUUUUGCAGGACCUGUGAACUAGGAACCGACGGUGACUGAGGCGAUUGAGCAGGUCGGCCAAUGAUUGAAGGGUCGGCAGUUCAAUUCCCAUCUGGUAAAUCUGUUUGUGGCCAGUUCCUCUGCACAGCAGGAAACCGAAAAAUAAGAGAAAAAGAUACUUUAGUCUCCAAUAAGUCUCAGCACUAAAGGACAUUUUUUUCAAACUGCUUUUCCGCUUUUAUCUUUGAACAAAUGUGUUUUGUAGUCAAUAGGUACGGUGGCCCUGAAGUGCACAUCCUACCGUAAUUAAAUGUGUUUAAGAUGAACCAGCUCACCUCUUAGAUCAUCAGUGAGAGCAGGUGCUUCCAGGCGUGGUCGGCGCCUGAAGGCAAAUGCUGAGCUGCAGCGAGACUGAAUGAGAACAGGAAGUUGGGGUUGUCCUUAACAUUAGAUGGAACUUUAAUAUCCCUAUCCCCUCUAUUAUCUAUGAUAUUGAAUCUUUUAUAUGAAUUUUAAUGUUUUGUAAUGUAUGUAGCCUUUUUUUAUCAAUAGGUAUUUUAUUUUCAUUGUCUAAUAAUUGCAUUUUCCUUGUAUGUUGUACUUAUACUGAUCUUUUCAAUUGUUUUUAUUUUUGUUCUUUUUUGCUUUUAAGGUAGACAAUUUUAACAUCUUUUGGGGACAAUAGAUAAAAAUGACCACCGGGCUAACUCUGGUUCAUUGCGGUGAUGCUUUUAUUCGCGCUAUCCCUGAGAAAUGAAUAAAAUUGAAAUUAAAUUGAAAUUUUAAAGGCAACAAUAAAACACAUGACCACAGAUGAUUUUUGAUGUCUGUACUUAUAAGUUCCUUUUGUUGCCUAAAUGCAAAUGUCUGUCUGAUGUUUAGCAUUAAAACCAAAAUGAUUAUCGAUAGAAAGCAUAAAAUAAUUCAAUGUUUUAAUUAAAAUACUUUCUAAUAAUAAAGUCAUCUAAGUGAUGUUGAUUUCAAUCCCAAUUUGUAUAAAUAAAAUAAUUUUUAUAAGAA